GCCUGCGAUCAUACUAAGUUCAAAGCAGCGCAUCACGACAGCAUUCCGCAGUUAAACAACGUUUGGCCGCAUCAGUACCUUAGUUGGUGACAACAAGGGAACGUUCGGUGUCGCCGCAU
rnacentral:rRNA from 1 species